CGGGUCUUGCGCAAUAGGAAUCCGUGAACCAUGUCAGGUCGGGAACGAAGCAGCAUUAAACGGAAUCUCUUAUGUGCCGCAAGGGUGCCUG
rnacentral:SRP_RNA from 1 species